rnacentral:lncRNA from 1 species
CGGCCGGGAGCGGGGCGGGGCAGCGGGCGGACGGCAGCUGCCGGCCUCAGCCCACGUGCGGCCUGCGGCGGCCCCGAGAGCCAGAGGACAUUUCCAAAGCCUCCCUAUGCAAAUCAGGGAACAGCAUCCUCCCAUACUCACGAAAAAGAAACACAUAUAAUCUUAGAGGAAAACAGAGUUGUACCACAGGAUAUAUCAGUGUCAUAACCUAA